rnacentral:rRNA from 1 species
UACGGAGGGGGCUAGCGUUGUCCGGAUUUAUUGGGCGUAAAGAGCGUGUAGGCGGUUCGGUAGGUCCGUUGUGAAAACUCGAGGCUCAACCUCGAGACGCCGAUGGAAACCCUCGAACUAGAGUCCGGAAGAGGAGAGUGGAAUUCCUGGUGUAGCGGUGAAAUGCGCAGAUAUCAGGAAGAACACCCGUGGCUAAGGCGGCUCUCUAGUACGGUACUGACGCUGAGACGCGAAAGCGUGGGGAGCGAACAGG